CGUGGGGGGCAGGAGAGUGUCAGCGCACCCACAUGAGGAACAGGAUACCACUAUCGGGCUAAUUAGGAGAUGAUCAUACAGUAACGAUUACACAGUGAUGUGGGGGGAAUCGAGAACCAGCGGGGAAUGCCAGCAAAACCACAGAGCUCAUUUUCCACGGCUUGUGCAGAGACACGCCCACUCUUAAUCACGAGCGGUAGCAACAUUUCAUCAUUAGGUGAUGCCUCAUUCCCACAAAGCUCUCAGAGAGUAAGCUUGCAAGAUAAGUCACAAGGAGCUCAGGUUCAUCGGCGAGGCAUCCAGGACUCAUUUUCCUUCCCUUUCCUUCGAGACGGCACACCUGGGACCACUGGCCUCUGCACUGGACCCUCAACACAAGUUCUGUCCUGCUCCAUUUAAUGGCAUUCCAGAGGCCCAUCUGAUGAUAAGGUGUUGCCCUGGAGAGAGCGGCCAAAGGGCCCCGGUGUGUCUUGUGCAGGUAUCAGUGUCACCGUUCUGACUCUCACAUCUGGCAGCUGUGCACACACGUACACUCUCUCUCUCUCUCUCUCUCUCUUUUCACACAUACACACACUUAUAGUUUCAAAGCACUCCCUGCAGAGAAACUUGCAGAGGUGAGAACAGACACAGAGCACCUUGACAAAGCUGCCAUAGCGCUGGGCUAGAUGCUUUCUGUUCCUUCUGUCUCGCUCCGCCUCUCAUGCUGUCAGUCUCCGUCUUUAGCACUCACCCGUCAGUCAGGCCCUGUUCAGACCUGCCAUUAACAUCCGUCUUGUGUGAUUUUUAUCACAGCUGGGUGCGGCCCACACGCACUGAGGACUCAGUGACAACCCAUCAGGAAUUCAGUGCAAUAUCUGAAUGGAAAUAUAAAUAUACAAAUCAGACCAAAGAUUUGGACACACCUUCAAUGUGUUUUCUUUAUUUUCAUGACCAUUUACAUUGGUAGAUUCUCACUGAAGGCACCAAAACUAUGAAUGAACACAUGUGGAGUUAUGUACUUAACAAAAAAAGGUGAAACAGCUGAAAACAUGUUUUAUAUUCUAGUUUCUUCAAAAUAGCCACCCUUUGCUCUGAUUACUGCUUUGCACACUCUUGGCAUUCUCUCGAUGAGCUUCAAGAGGUCGUCACCUGAAAUGGUUUUCCAACAGUCUUGAAGGAGUUCCCAGAGGUGUUCAGCACUUGUUGGCCCCUUUGCCUUCACUCUGCGGUUCAGCUCACCCCAAACCAUCUGGAUUGGGUUCAGGUCCGGUGACUGUGGAGGCCAGGUCUCCACUUUUUGAUAAGUACAUAACUCCACAUGUGUUCAUUCAUAGUUUUGAUGCCUUCAGUGAGAAUCUACCAACGUAAAUGGUCAUGAAAAUAACACAUUGAAUGAGAAGGUGUGUCCAAACAUUUGGCCUGUACUGUAUGUGUAUGUGUGUGUAUAUAUGUAUAUAUAAUUCUUUUUUUUGUAGUUCAUAGACACAAAAGACCUGUUUUUUUGUUUCAGUGUGAAAUCAUUUUAUAACAUUCCAGUUAGCUGGGGCACUUUAAAAGUUAUGGGGUAGUGGGACUUGAACCUUUGACUUUGUGGUUAUCUGGUUCAUAGGUAAGACUUACUUGCUAGGCUAGAAACAGUCCCACAUGUUUUUUUUUUGUUGUUUUUUUUUUUUGGAGGGGGGGCACAUUGUUAUUUGGGCAGAGAAAGGAGAUCUGAGCCUAAGUGAGACUCAUUAUAAUGCCAGGUCUUAAUUGACCCAAGGCGGAUGUUAUUGGAAAGUCUGAAAAGGGCCUCACUCUCCCAGUUCUCCCUUCUGUUCUUCCUGCUGCGACUGUCUGUCUCGCCACCACACCCCUUCACUGGAGACCAGCUGAGGAGUGGUGGAUGCCAUGCAGAACAAAUGGGCCUGCCAAAGGGAAGCAGAGGCCCGGGAAAAGGUGAGGUGGGAGAAGGUGAGGUGUCAUGUGGGAUGUGAUAGAGUGGAGUCUUGAUGGUGACAGGGGGUGUAGCAUAUUAAUGUGUCACAACUGUUGAGAUCCAGUGCAUCAUUAAAAAAUGCCAUUUAUUGCAUGUAUUUUAACUAACUAGCUAAAUAAAAAAAAAAAACAUUUUAGUUAGAGUUGCUUA
rnacentral:lncRNA from 1 species